ACUUUUUUCUAAAGCUGGAAUCCGAAUGCAGUUAUUGGUGCUGUGUAUGUGUGUGGGGAUGAGAGAUAGGAGGGGAAUUUUACAGAACGUGUGUAAUACUGGAGAAGUAUGAUGGGAAGGACAGGUUUGGAGACAAGGGCUGCAAGGAUGUAUUAUAAGGUAAAGUGUGGUACACUUUACGUGGUAAAGUGUUGUAUGAAGCUCUUUUAAUUAAUGUCCAUAUGUCAAGAAAAAGUGUUUUGGACAUUGGCCACAGCACAGUUUGGAGAACUUAAUUUGCAAAACAAGGACAGUCUGCCAUGGUCUUUUUGAACAAAUCCCAUUUCCAAAGUUGUCUUCACACAUGCACAGCCAGAGUGUUAGUGGAUGGAUUAUGUUUAGGUUUCCCCUUAAGCUGUAUUUAAAUCUGUGACCUUAGGACCCCAAUAUAAAUGCCCAUGUGCUAAAGUGCAACGAGGGGCUGUUGAUACAAAACAGCUCAGGUGCCAGCAACCCCCCCCGCUCUUCUUUCUCCCCUUGUUUCUGCAUGGUACCAUAAAAGACCACAUCUAUGCAAGGACUUGACUAAGCACCUUCUUCACGUAAGAUGCAGAACUAGGAUAUAUGCCUAGACUCAGAAGCAGAGAGAAAUAUCAUGUAUGGAAAGGGAAAUUAAUCUCAUUCGUAUACUACUAAAAGGCUACUCUGGCUUGGCACAGACUUAGGGAAAAUGAGAGCCUAGCUACGCUGCAGAGUCUUUAACUUGUUUGUUCUUUAUGGCGUAGUCCAGCAAAGCCUUUCCCAUUUACAGUCAUGUCUUCAUUUUGUUGUGUAGCCAGUUAAAAAGGGGACAACCCUCUAUUAACUACUGUAGUGAUCUCUCUCACUUCACUGUUUCAUCCAGCUCUGCAAUAUGCCAACAGCAGCAAACAAAGAACUCGUUGCAGAUGUUUUCCUCAGGGACACUUGAUGGUACUUAAUUAUUACUCAACCAGAUGAGCUGGAGAUAGAAAAAUAACCAAGUCAGAUGGAGAAUUCCCUCCCCUGUACUCUACCUCCUUUGAUUUUUCAGUGAAGUAGCUACUGAAUAGAAGGUAUGCAAGCACAAAACUGAAAAUUUGGAUAAGAAAGCUUUCUGAGGGCUUAAACACAUGAAGUGACAGUCUGACUUUACUGAUUUCAGUUGUAACAACCACAAUGGUCAGGAUUUUAUUCACAACUUCUGUAAUUCUGAAUGGAAAACACAUACAUAACUACUUACUCUGGUCGUUGCAGUCACAGACUCCAGACAGUAGCAGACUAGAUCUAUCUGAAUGGCUUUAGUUGAGUUUAACCUUUUAAAAUAUUGCUUAUGGAAUAUAAGAGAAG